GAUUCAGUUAAAAACUGAAUUAACUGAAAUCAAUUCAACAACAACUGCCCCGGUGCUUCCCCGUAGAUAGCACCGCUGUUGUUUCAGGAACACAGUCAUCCCUCAGAAAUGGAUUGGGUGACAAGUGGUCUGCAUGCUGCACACGGGCACUGGAGUGGACAAUUUAUUUGGUAUUGACUUAGUGUGAGGCAUGCCCUAGACCCGAGGAAUAUAAAGGGGACUGGGAGAAAGCCCGGCCUCCCUGGAGCUCUUCACGUGAUGACAGGCGCAGAUCAGCGGACAGGCGCGUAACAGGAGGUGCUAAGUGCGCAGGUGGGGUCACGUGCCGCGUCACAGCAGUGCUGGAGGAGAGUCCUGACUCAUGGCCUGGGAUGCUGGGGUUCCUCCCCAGAGAAGCUCUUUUGGACCUGGGAGAAGGAGUAGGACUUUGAUACACCAUGGAGGUCUCUGAAUGUAACCAAAUUGUUCUCCUCUUAUCAUUCCCAUUCACUGGUGUACUUGUUUGUGGAGCCUGCAGAACUGCCUUUUUCAAGAAUGGCAGCUUGGCCUCUAAAUCUGCUUCCCACUGAUGGGAAGAGCUGACAGAAGCUUUAGAGAGGCACAGGGUGAGUUCCUAAAACCAGAGUCAACACACACUCUUCAUCUGUUUUGUGCUUCACUCCCUGCUCAUCUUCCUAAAACACUGAGUUUGGUCAUAUCAUGUCCUACAAGUUGUCAAUGAUUUCCCAUGAUCUUGUCUUCAGGAUAAAGUUCCUUAGUCAAAAGCAAUGAAGACCUGACCUAAUCUGUAAGGCAAAAUCAACACUUUUUAGCCUGGCCUUCCAUGCCCUUCCAUGCCCUUCGAGCCCCCAGAGCACCCAUGGCAGUCCAUCUCUCUCUACUUGUCCAGAGGGACACUCUCUUAGAGCCAGUGGCUCCUACUCACGGUUCCCCGAACACGUCGUGGGAAUGUUUGCCUUCAUACCUUCCCAGAUCAUUUUCCUGAUCUCAGACACCCUCCGUCCUCAUUCAUUCACUCUUCAAUUGUCCAACAAAUAUUUGUUGCUCAUGCAACCUGGAUCACCCACAUAGUUUCAAGACUGCAUCUUCUAAACUAUUUAAAUCCUAUCCAUUCUUCAAGAAAUGUUUCAUGACGCUUCCUUAACUGCUAAGGACCCGCAGAUUCUCUUCCUCUUGGGACUCACACACUGACUCAUCUCCCGAUCUUUUGGUGCUCAGCAAAGUGGAGGCUUCUGUUUUGGACUUAGAGUCAAGACCAUUAAAUAAGACUAUGCUCUAAAAAGUACACCUCCGUGGCCCGGAACGAGUGAAUUAACAUCUAUGAGUUUCCAUUUCCUUGUCUAUAAAAUUGUGAAAUUGCAACUUAAGAUUAGUUCUGAAGAUUAAAUGAGGUAACAUAGGUGAAAAUGCUACAUUUAUGUAAGAAAUUACUCUUUCAUAAGGAUGUCAAUGUUUAAAUACGCAUUUUCUCAAUUUUGUUAAUGAAAUACUUUGAAAUUCUUUUUUCUAAUGAAACCUGCUGAAUGUAAAAGAGACCCGUACUAAAGAAAGAUACCACAUGAAGCACCAAGGGUCUCUUUCUGGAUCUAUCAUGACUCUUGUGACUGUUUCAGCAGCACAGAAAUUAAAGGCGAUUGUUAUUCUGGAGGAAGACAAUGAGUCUCAUCUAUAUCUUGUUUGGGUUGAUUUUGUAAACAGAACAUUCCAAAGAUCAUUCUUGCCUUUUGUUUCCACUGAGAACUAGAAUAAAGUAAAACAAACUAUCAAUUUAAGGAAAGCCUCGAAAUUGUUAGCAAUUUCUUCAGUAACUUUCAUCCAUCAACUGAUUUUAUGAACACAAAUUUGCAGAAAUGGGCAAGAAAAACUACUUAACUCAUUGGUGGGAAGCAGUGGGCUCUCUAAGGAGGGAGAGAUAGCAGUGAUUUCACCACCGGACCGUGGAACACAAAGAGCCUGGAAGAGUCUAUCACUUUCAACUGAAACCGCAAGAAGAACUAAGUAGGUUAAGCCCUAAGAAUGUUCCUAGGUAACCUACUUGAGUUGAAAUUUGACUAAGAAUCCUUACACCCUACCUAAGAGAGGUAACGCUAUUAGGAUCGGAAGUGAUUGGAAGCUUUGUUUCAGAUCUCGUCCAAAAGGGAGAACGGUCAAUGACAAAGCUGCUGUGAAUAGUAUUCUGGGGGCGUGGUGGAACCCCGAUUCACUGCUAUCUCCCGAAUCAGCAACUUGACAGAGCGCGCCUCCCGGGCCUUGGAAGCCUUCCAUUCCGAGCUGGCUGGGUGGGACUCAGGUUUUACGGUAUGCUGGACUUUUUCCCCGUGAGUUAAAACACAUUUAUAGUAACUAAG
rnacentral:lncRNA from 1 species